rnacentral:rRNA from 1 species
AGAGUUUGAUCAUGGCUCAGGAUGAACGCUGGCGGCGUGCCUAACACAUGCAAGUCGAGCGAAGCACUUUGAUUGGAUUCUUCGGAUGAAGAUGAUUGUGACUGAGCGGCGGACGGGUGAGUAACGCGUGGGCAACCUGCCUUACACAGGGGGAUAACAGUUAGAAAUGACUGCUAAUACCGCAUAAGACCGCGGAACCGCAUGGUUCUGAGGUAAAAACUCCGGUGGUGUAAGAUGGGCCCGCGUCUGAUUAGGUAGUUGGUGAGGUAACGGCUCACCAAGCCGACGAUCAGUAGCCGACCUGAGAGGGUGACCGGCCACAUUGGGACUGAGACACGGCCCAGACUCCUACGGGAGGCAGCAGUGGGGAAUAUUGCACAAUGGGGGAAACCCUGAUGCAGCGACGCCGCGUGAGCGAUGAAGUAUUUCGGUAUGUAAAGCUCUAUCAGCAGGGAAGAAAAUGACGGUACCUGACUAAGAAGCCCCGGCUAACUACGUGCCAGCAGCCGCGGUAAUACGUAGGGGGCAAGCGUUAUCCGGAUUUACUGGGUGUAAAGGGAGCGU